rnacentral:rRNA from 1 species
AGUCGAGCGGAAAGGCCCUUCGGGGUACUCGAGCGGCGAACGGGUGAGUAACACGUGAGCAACCUGCCCCUGACUCUGGGAUAAGCCCGGGAAACUGGGUCUAAUACCGGAUACGACCGCCUCCGGCAUCGGGUGGUGGUGGAAAGUCUUUUCGGUGGGGGAUGGGCUCGCGGCCUAUCAGCUUGUUGGGGGGGUAGGGGCCUACCAAGGCAACAACGGGUAGCCGGCCUGAAAGGGCAACCGGCCACACUGGGACUGAAACACGGCCCAAACUCCUACGGAAGGCACCAUUGGGAAAUAUUGCGCAAUGGGCGGAAGCCUGACCCACCGACCCCCCGUGGGGAAUGACGGCCUUCGGGUUGUAAACCUCUUUCACCAGGGACAAAUUUGACUUGUACCUGCAAAAAAAGCGCCGGCUAACUACUUGCCACCAGCGCGGGGUUAAUUCA